AGUAGGCUUGCCAGCUCAUAUGGCAAGUGUAUCUAUAACUUUAUCAGAAAUUGCCAGACUCUUUUCCAGAGUAACUGUACCAUUUUUUCAUUGCUAUAUGAGAG
rnacentral:pre_miRNA from 1 species